UACGGGAGGCAGCAGUGGGGAAUAUUGCACAAUGGGCGCAAGCCUGAUGCAGCCAUGCCGCGUGUAUGAAGAAGGCCUUCGGGUUGUAAAGUACUUUCAGUCGUGAGGAAGGUGUUAAGGUUAAUAACCUUAGCAAUUGACGUUAGCGACAGAAGAAGCACCGGCUAACUCCGUGCCAGCAGCCGCGGUAAUACGGAGGGUGCGAGCGUUAAUCGGAAUUACUGGGCGUAAAGGGCACGCAGGCGGUUAAUUAAGUUGGAUGUGAAAUCCCCGGGCUUAACCUGGGAAUGGCAUUCAAGACUGGUUAGCUAGAGUCUUGUAGAGGGGGUAGAAUUCCAUGUGUAGCGGUGAAAUGCGUAGAGAUGUGGAGGAAUACCGGUGGCGAAGGCGGCCCCUGGACAAAGACUGACGCUCAUGUGCGAAAGCGUGGGGAGCAAAACAGGGAUUAGAUACCCU
rnacentral:rRNA from 1 species